GCUUGGACGAGACGAGCCGCCCCUGUUCCGGCCGCUCGAUGGUGAUCGCGAUGUCGGCCUCGCGCUGCGACAGCGAGAAGGAGCGCGGAACAGGAACGAGCUGGAGCUUCAGUUCCGGGUAGCGUGCCGUGAGCCGCCCGAGACGCGGCGCCAGGAAGGAGAC
rnacentral:sRNA from 1 species